AUACCCUCCGGGACUUGUGGUCUGUCCAUGCUUAUUCGUAGCUUAAUCCCAGUGUCCAUCCCAAGUUUAUGGGGAGACACGCAGUUCCAGAAAGUCAAAAGUCUUUAAGUAGUAGGUCGUGAGAGGAACAGAAAUCACAUCACAUUCAGAUAUUUCAGAAGCAUGUGAAUACGCCCCACGUUUCAUCAGCCAUUAAAAUUCUUUUUCAAUUGUUGAGGAUUUGUGAACGACUACAGGCCAUGAGUUCGACUUUAGCUCUUUUAAGCUUUCCAACAUAGUUGAAAGCGUUCAAUUUUCCUCGUUGUUGACAAGACUGGAUUAUGCGCGAACCGAAAGUCGAUUGAUAAAGAGCUACUUCCCUUGCCGUUUUGAAUCAACAUUUCCACCAUGAAUAGAUAGAUUGUUAAUAACCAAAAUUUGAAACCGGCUGUUCCAAUCGAUCCGCUUUGCCAUACAUGUCACUAAUUGAA